rnacentral:rRNA from 1 species
ACUCAAAUGAAUUGACGGGGGCCCGCACAAGCGGCGGAGCAUGUGGCUUAAUUCGAUGCAACGCGAAGAACCUUACCUGGGUUGAACUACGCCGGAAAAGCCGUGGAAACACGGUGUCCUUCGGGGUCGGCGAUAGGUGGUGCAUGGCUGUCGUCAGCUCGUGUCGUGAGAUGUUGGGUUAAGUCCCGCAACGAGCGCAACCCUUAUCCCAUGUUGCCAGCGGGUAAUGCCGGGGACUCGUGGGAGACUGCCGGUGCCAAACCGGAGGAAGGUGGGGAUGACGUCAAGUCAUCAUGCCCCUUACGUCCAGGGCUGCACACAUGCUACAAUGGCCGGUACAAAGGGCUGCAAACCCGCGAGGGUGAGCCAAUCCCAGAAAGCCGGUCUCAGUUCGGAUCGCAGUCUGCAACUCGACUGCGUGAAGUCGGAGUCGCUAGUAAUCGCAGAUCAGCAACGCUGCGGUGAAUACGUUCCCGGGCCUUGUACACACCGCCCGU